ACAACCCAAUAAUAUAAAGAGUGUUCCUGAGACCCAAUGUUUAAGAGUUUGAGUGUCGUGACUUCCAGCGUCAUGAUGAGCUAUUUUUGGAGAGUAAAAAAGGUGGAUUGGUGGUCCUUUGUAAAUAGUCAUUAAUAAUGCUCCUCCAAAUGUUACUAUUGUCCCAAUCACCUUUGCUAUGCUUCUUAUCUGCUUAAUAUUCACACGUUCAAUCCUGAUAAUAAAGGUGGAUUGGUGGUCCUUUGUAAAUAGUCAUUAAUAAUGCUCCUCCAAAUGUUACUAUUGUCCCAAUCACCUUUGCUAUGCUUCUUAUCUGCUUAAUAUUCACACGUUCAAUCCUGAUAAAUGGAGAACUAUAAGAUUAGCACUUUUUUUAAUAAAAAGUUACUAUAGUAAUAAUCAUC
rnacentral:lncRNA from 1 species